GGUGAGGCCUUCGGACUGGCCCAGGGAGGUCGGCAACGACCACCCAGGGCCGGAAAGUUGGUCAAACCCGGUCAUUUAGAGGAAGUAAAAGUCGUAACAAGGUCUCCGUAGGUGAACCUGCGGAGGGAUCAUU
rnacentral:rRNA from 3 species